GCUAGGCGUAUUAGUUUCCCUUUUGGGAAUCCACUCUUGCGCCGGUGUAUACGGCCCCUUAAGCUCGUGCUGGUUGAUCGUUUUACUUUAUAUUACGCACUUAAGACUCGUCUUAGGAGCUUAAACUAAAAUUGGUUUGCAGUAUGCACACUAAUUUUGAUCUUGAUCUCAAAUCAGGCAAGACUACCCGCUGAAUUUAA
rnacentral:misc_RNA from 1 species